CCAAAUUUUCUCCGCCUAAAAUUCUUCCCUCUGACAACCAUUAAACGAACACAGGCCACAACCAAUAAUCGCAACUACUACGUUGCUACAGAUCUCAAAAAAUGGCAACGUUUGAGCUUUACAGAAGAUCGACUAUUGGCAUGUGCUUGACAGAGACUCUAGAUGAGAUGGUUCAAAGCGGUACUCUCAGCCCGGAGCUAGCUAUUCAGGUUCUAGUCCAGUUUGACAAGUCUAUGACUGAAGCUUUGGAGAGUCAAGUUAAGAGCAAAGUUUCCAUUAAGGGACACUUGCACACCUACAGAUUUUGCGACAAUGUCUGGACUUUCAUUCUAACAGAUGCAUUGUUUAAGAAUGAAGAUUUGCAGGAGAAUGUUGGUCGAGUUAAAAUAGUGGCAUGUGACUCAAAGCUGCUUACACAAUGAUGUAAUAGAAAUCUGUCUUAUGGUAGCAAAGAUGGACGGCAGCGAGGAAGAAACUUUAGUUUUAGCUACUAUGGACGAUUGAACAUUAGCUGUAUAGCCCAACCUUUUGAAACUAUUGUUAUUUGCUGACACAUUUGAUGAUGGUGCAUCUCUCGAGAGGAACACUUUUGGAGAUGGACACUGGUGAUAAAUCAUGAAAACCACGAAUUAUAUAAUAGUGGCGCAC
rnacentral:misc_RNA from 1 species